GUCCUAAGGCUGAGAAAGAAUGAUUAUACUAAAUGACAGAAUUUAAAAAAUCUAAACAGGCAGAAAAAUGGGGCAGAUGAACUAUGUAAGAUUGUAAAAUCUUACACUGCAGUUAUUAAAAAAAAAUGUGCAAGGUCAAGAUAGACCCUGGUGCUGCCUCGUGUAGCAAACACCGGGGAAAGAAAGCCUGCGGCCCCCGUCCCAGCAAACUGGGUGCCAGAGCUUGGGCCUGGGGGUCUUGGGGUCCCGUCUCCCCAGCAGCCUGUGUGGAGACAGCGUGGUUCCUAAGACGCUGCCCUAACCUGGAGGCAGCCCGGCAGAAACUGCCCUGAGACUUGGGAGCUGACAGAAAAAACGGUGUAAAUGCAGCAGGUGGGAGGGCAGAAACAUGAGCGGUGAAGCGAGAGGAGCCAGGGGCGCCGAUGAGCUGGGGGCGGCCGCCCCGCAGACCAGGCCGCUGGUUUAGAGCCUUUCAGUGAGUCGCACCUAGGAGAGAACGGGAACCAGGCUGUAGCAACCCAAGGAGAGCGGUGUCCAGGGUGGUGAGUGAGCCUCCAGGAGGAGACACAACAGCGCACCCAGAGCUUUCCAGGCAAAGCUGCCUCGAUGGACUGGUCCUCCGCCCUCAGAGGAAGAGACCCAGCUCAGAGGACUGACUUCAUUUAGCUCUCAGUGGCCCCGUGAAGUAGGUGCUGCUGUUGUAAGCAGACACAGCUCCAUCAGAGUAAUUGCUACCAUUCCAGCAAGCCCGCCAUGCUCAAAACCCCAUCAGUCUCCUCCUUUGAAGAUGGAUGAGCAAACUGGAUAAUCAUCUUUGCAAGAGAAACUUGAAGUGCUGAGCUUGUUUUUUUUGGAUGGGCCAAAAAGAGCCCCCCAAACUCUUCCUUUUCCAUGUUCUAACUGCCUCCCCCCACCACCACCCUCCGUUUCCGUUGCUCUGGAGAGUGACUCUCUUGUCCGUAUGUCCUUGGAAAGGCAUCAGGCUCCCCCACUCUGGGUAAAUCGUCUUGUCUGGAAGCAGAGUCAGCACCUCCCUGCCAGACACCCCACGUGGCUGCCUUGUCCUCCUGUGGGUCAGACCUGAGC
ensembl:lncRNA